AGCGUUCCUAAAUUUUGAUUCGUUGAUGAGUUCAUCUCCCAAUCAUCAGUUAUCUUAUCCCCGCAAGGCUAGAGUACAACACUGAAGAUUAAAAACUUCUUCCCGAGUUGAGUAGCUGCGUUGAAUUCUUCAAGCAUAUUUUUUUAGAAAUUCAACAAGGCCCCAUUUUCAACAUCAAUUCGGCUUUUUGUAGAUAUUUCUUGAAAGAUGAUCCUGCGCUGGAAUUACGUAGAAAGAUAUAGCAGCGCUGCCCUGAGACAUCUCGUAUUUAGUCCACUCUUUCAGUCUUUGUUGUUGGAGUUCAAGAUUCCUGCGUUGUUCUCUAAGACGAACGUACUGUGCUGCCCUCUUGAUGCUUCAAUUCUCCUCGAAGAUAACCCAACGUUCUUGAUGCCUCGCUGCUUCAAUGCAGUGGCGAACUGCCCUCCCCCUUCCCUAUGAGCUUAUUGACAACAGCGAGAUCGGGAUGAACCGAUUAACCCCCGACAGAUGUAACUUGGUGGCCAGCGUCAG
rnacentral:lncRNA from 1 species